rnacentral:rRNA from 1 species
UACGUAGGUGGCAAGCGUUAUCCGGAUUUAUUGGGCGUAAAGGGAACGCAGGCGGUCUUUUAAGUCUGAUGUGAAAGCCUUCGGCUUAACCGGAGUAGUGCAUUGGAAACUGGGAGACUUGAGUGCAGAAGGGGAGAGUGGAACUCCAUGUGUAGCGGUGGAAUGCGUAGAUAUGUGGAAGAACACCAGUGGCGAAAGCGGCUCUCUGGUCUGUAACUGACGCUGAGGUUCGAAAGCGUGGGUAGCAAACAGG